GCCCCGGUGGUGUAACAGGCAGCACACCGCCGUCGUAACGCGGAGAUGUCGGAUCGUAACCGACCUGGGGCUCCA
rnacentral:tRNA from 1 species